rnacentral:tRNA from 1 species
GAGGGUGUGGCUUAGUUGGUAAAGUUCCUGGCUAGCAUGCAGGAAGCCCUGGUCCACCUUCA